rnacentral:tRNA from 1 species
GGUGGUAUAGCUCAGUGGUAGAGCACUUACCUAGCAUGCAUGAGGCCUUGGGUUCAGCCCCCAGCACCA